CCAGAGAGUUGACAUAAAGAACUGUGAUGCUGAGUCUGGACAGGACUCCACUCAAGGCCUUAGUAAGCGCUGUGAACCACAGACCUGGUAAUCUGUAGGUGACAAGUCUCCCACUGUGGGGGUGGUGGGAAGAUCCAGUUCGUGGGGGCCUAUUUGGCAUAAGAUCUCUGGCCCGUGUCAUCAAUGUUUUGAGGUAACACUCCAGUAGGCUCUCAGGUAGUGUCAAGAGACUGCUUUUGUAUAGGAGGCUUGCCCAGAGGGGAUCCCCCCCGUUUUGGCACAAGUCCUCUCAAGUUUGCUUUCGGCAGACAAGGCAGAGCUGAUUUUCAGCAAUUCUGGAGUUUUAUCCAACAGUUCUGGAAAAUCUCCUCCAUCAGGGUAGGAGUAGCAAAGCAAAAGUGUGGUAGCCAAGUUAGGCCCAGAACCUGCGUGUCAUGGGGAAGAGCUGCCACCAUCU